AGCAGGCGGCCUAGCUCUCUUUUGUUCUCAGCGGGCCCCCAGCUAUUUAAAGUAUGCUGGGUCUUGUCAGCGCUCAGAGGCAGGCAAGACAGAAGCCAGUCCCUCAGGUAGUCCCUUUGAAAAGUCAGAAUGUUGAACGUAUAGUCCAGGCUUCUCUUUCCCUACCCAGGGAGAUAUACCAGGAGUCGGGACUAGGACGGUGCACACUGAAAUGGGUGUUGAACAAGUCAGUCUGACACAUCUGCCUUUAUAAGGCUAUAGCAACUCUGCUCCCGGGAACCUAUUCCAUAGGAAUGAAGGUACCAAUAAUAGGCAGAAAGACUGAAAAGCUUCAGGAGAAAGAGACCUUCUUUGCUGCCCGGGCCAUAUAUCAAUUUUAGAGAAGCUUCUGAUUGGCUCUGCUUUGGCCAUGUGACCACCAAAUGCCUGUCAAGGAGGAAACGGGGCACCAUGAUUGACCUGCCCACCAGGAUCAUGUGGAAUUGAGGAAAGGAUCUUCAAAGUGACCCAGAGAAAGAAAUGGGAAACCAUGCUAGACAAACAGAACUUCGUUACCAUAGUCCCAAUGAGGACAAAACCAAUGCUACCUAUUUCUUGAUUUUUGUGGAAAUGUUAAAAUAACCAAAAUCUCGCUCUCUCUUCCUAUAUCCAUAUUUUUAUGACUCAUUUUAACAUUCUGUAAUCACAUUCAGAAUCACAUUCUGUAAAAUUUGAAAUGGACUAUAGAAAAGUUAUCACAUAGAUGAGGAAAAGGAGGCUAAAAAGAAAACGCUUGGUCUAAUUUCAUAUAAAUACUUGCUUUGUGGUUUUUCCUCCAUUUUUAUUUGUUAUAAGAAUAAUUUUAUGAGCUUAACCAUUUUCAGAUAAAAAACUAUGCCAAAUGCAAGAUGAGUAAGUUCUAGAAAACUACUGUAACAACAUAGCACCUAAAAUUAAAUUUGUUAAGAGGAUAGAUCUCCUGUUAAGUAUUCUCACCAGAAAAAACCACCCAAACCAGAAAACAUCACAAAAGAACACAGGGAAAUUUUUGAAGGUGGUGGAUAUGUUUAGUAUUGGUUACGGUGAUGGUACUAUAGGUAUAUGCAUAUAUUCGACGCCAUCAUGAUGUAUAUGCUAAAUGUAUGAAAUUUUUGUACAUCAGCUAUAAUUCAAUAAAGCUAAAAGAGGGAAAAUGAU